rnacentral:pre_miRNA from 14 species
CCACUCUCAAAGUGGCUGUGAAAUGGUUCCUCCAGAAAUCGCCAUAUCACAGCCAGCUUUGAAGAGCGAUA